GCCUCAGUUCGGGUGAGAUUACCCCC
rnacentral:rRNA from 1 species